rnacentral:ncRNA from 1 species
AAAGGUUUGGUCCUAGCCUUGAAAUCAGUUAUUAAUUAUUUUACACAUGCAAGUCUCAGCACCCCUGUGAAAACGCCCUUAAACCCCUGCUAGGGACUAGGAGCUGGUAUCAGGAACACAAUUUGCCCAAGACACCUAGCCUCGCCACACCCACAAGGGAAUUCAGCAGUGAUUAACAUUGACCAUAAGCGACAGCUUGACUCAGCCAAAUUUUUAUAGAGCCGGCCAAUUUGGUGCCAGCCGCCGCGGUUACACCAGAAGCUCAAAUUGAUUUCAAUCGGCGUAAAGCGUGAUUAAAGCAACUAACCCCUUGGAAUUAAAUUAAAACUGAGCCGUGAUACGCUUGUUACCUAAGAAACCCAAAAACGAAAGUUAUUCCAAUUAAACCUACUUGAACUCACGACAACUGAGACACAAACUGGGAUUAGAUACCCCACUAUGCUCAGUCGUAAACUUUAAAUUACAUCACACUCGCCUGGGAACUACGAGCUAAGCUUAAAACCCAAAGGACUUGACGGUACCCCACAUCCACCUAGAGGAGCCUGUCCUAUAAUCGAUAAUCCACGUUUAACCUCACCAUUUUUAGCUUAUUCAGCCUGUAUACCUCCGUCGUCAGCUUACCCCGUGAGCGCCAGUGAGCUUAAUGUUUAUUCAACAAUACGUCAGGUCAAGGUGCAACUCAUAAAAUGGCAAGAGAUGGGCUACAUUUUCUAACAUAGACCACACGAAAGACUACUUAUGAAACCUAGUCAGAAGGCGGAUUUAGCAGUAAACAGGAACUAGAAAGUCCUUUUUAAUUUGGCACUGGGGUGUGUACACACCGCCCGUCACCCUCCUCUUACGCCAUAAUACAGUUUUUAACAAAAUUCAGCUUCUCAGAAGAGGUAAGUCGUAACAUGGUAAGUAUACCGGAAGGUGUACUUGGAAUCAA